rnacentral:rRNA from 1 species
UACAGAGGGUGCGAGCGUUAAUCGGAAUUACUGGGCGUAAAGCGUGCGUAGACGGUAGCGUAAGUCAGAUGUGAAAGCCCCGGGCUCAACCUGGGAAUUGCGCUCGAGACUGGUCUGCUUGAGUUCGGGAGAGGAGAGUGGAAUUCCCAGUGUAGAGGUGAAAUUCGUAGAUAUUGGGAAGAACACCGGUGGCGAAGGCGGCUCUCUGGACCGAGACUGACGCUGAGGCGCGAAAGCGUGGGGAGCAAACAGG